UUGGAUAAAAUUUAGACAAAUUCGUGAAACUUUCGAAUCCGCAUAAAAAAAACAUAGCGGUCUUGCGCAUGCUCAGUUUACUUACUAGAAGUUAUAGGUACUAUGUUGCUCGGCGAAUUUCCCUCGCAUGGGAAA
rnacentral:sRNA from 1 species